rnacentral:rRNA from 1 species
CGCGGCCUAUCAGCUUGUUGGUGAGGUAACGGCUCACCAAGGCGACGACGGGUAGCCGGCCUGAGAGGGCGACCGGCCACACUGGGACUGAGACACGGCCCAGACUCCUACGGGAGGCAGCAGUGGGGAAUAUUGCACAAUGGGCGAAAGCCUGAUGCAGCGACGCCGCGUGAGGGAUGACGGCCUUCGGGUUGUAAACCUCUUUCAGCAGGGAAGAAGCGCAAGUGACGGUACCUGCAGAAGAAGCGCCGGCUAACUACGUGCCAGCAGCCGCGGUAAUACGUAGGGCGCAAGCGUUGUCCGGAAUUAUUAGGCGUAAAGAGCUCGUAGGCGGCUUGUCACGUCGGAUGUGAAAGCCCGAGGCUUAACCUCGGGUCUGCAUUCGAUACGGGCUAGCUAGAGUGUGGUAGGGGAGAUCGGAAUUCCUGGUGUAGCGGUGAAAUGCGCAGAUAUCAGGAGGAACACCGGUGGCGAAGGCGGAUCUCUGGGCCAUUACUGACGCUGAGGAGCGAAAGCGUGGGGAGCGAACAGGAUUAGAUACCCUGGUAGUCCACGCCGUAAACGCUGGAAACUAGGUGUUGGCGACAUUCCACGUCGUCGGUGCCGCAGCUAACGCAUUAAGUUCCCCGCCUGGGGAGUACGG